rnacentral:rRNA from 1 species
AGAAAGUCCCCUUCGGGGGAUAAGUAAAGUGGCGUCCGGGUGAGUAACACGUAGGUAAUCUACCUUCGGGUGGGGAAUAACCCAGGGAAACUUGGGCUAACACCGCAUAAUGCAGCGGCACCACAUGGUGACAGUUGUUAAAGCGGGGGAUUUUAGGACCUCGCGCCUGAAGAGGAGCCUGCGGCGGAUUAGCUAGUUGGUAAGGUAACGGCUUACCAAGGCGACGAUCCGUAGCCGGCCUGAGAGGGCGGUCGGCCACACUGACACUGACAUACGGGUCAGACUCCUACGGGAGGCAGCAGUCGGGAAUUUUGGGCAAUGGGCGAAAGCCUGACCCAGCAACGCCGCGUGAAGGAUGAAAUCCUUCGGGAUGUAAACUUCGCAAGAAUGGGAAGAAUUAGCGAGCGCUAAUACCGCUCGUGAUGACGGUACCAUUUGUAAGCUCCGGCUAACUCCGUGCCAGCAGCCGCGGUAAUACGGGGGGAGCAAGCGUUGUUCGGAUUUACUGGGCGUAAAGGGCGCGUAGGCGGUCAGCACAAGUCAGUUGUGAAAUCUCCGGGCUUAACUCGGAAAGGUCAACUGAUACUGUGCGACUAGAGUGCGGAAGGGGCAACUGGAAUUCUCGGUGUAGCGGUGAAAUGCGUAGAUAUCGAGAGGAACACCUGCGGCGAAGGCGGGUUGCUGGGCCGACACUGACGCUGAGGCGCGAAAGCCAGGGGAGCGAACGGGAUUAGAUACCCCGGUAGUCCUGGCCUUAAACGAUGGAUGCUUGGUGUCUGGGGUUUUAUAGUCCCCGGGUGCCGUANCUAACGCGUUAAGCAUCCCGCCUGGGGAGUAC